GAUGCUUUGGCACAAAGGACGCCACCAAGCGGGGAAAGAGGAAUGGAGGUGGUUGCGAGGUUCUUCCUUGAAUUGACAGCAACUAUGACAUCUUCAGCACCAUCUGAACUUAACAUUGACCAGCCAUCGUCACCGAAUCCAUUGAUGGCAUCAUUGAACCCUCUGCAUAAUCUCUGGCUAAAUGUUCGAAGAACAGCAGGUUGCCUUCCUAGACCAUAUACUACCUCGCCGCUAGUCUCUUGAGCUAGUUGCCUUGCAUAUCGCAGUGCUGCAAUAGUCAUUUUCUGUGCCACAACUU
rnacentral:misc_RNA from 1 species